UUUGUGUUUUAAUAAAACAACUUUCUGUACUUGAAAACUGUCUCCUGCUUUUUGCAAAACCGUACGUGUGUCUUGACUUUUGAUUUUCUGGGUGAAAGUUAUUGGUUGUUGGUGACAACCAAACUUUAAUGUUAUAGCCCCAGAAGAUCACCACUUGCCACAACAGGAAGCCCACACCUAUGGAGAGUAGCAACAGUGCUGAACUUCCUCCACUUGGAGACCAUCUGUUUUUACCGUGGACACAUCAAGGGCAGGGCACAUCCAAUCUCAUCCCAUUGAGUGGACUCCAGGGUGGCUGACACCUGGCUCCAACUAGGGGGUUCACAAACUCUUUCCACCCUGCACUGUGGAUGUUUACAUGCUGUGUUCAAUAAAACCAUGCAAACAUAAUUUUUUUGUGUGGUAUAAGUUGAAGCAGACUGUGUUUAUCUAUUGUUGUGAGUUUGAUGAAGAUCAGAACAUUUAAUGACCAAUUUAUGCAGAAACCCAAGAAAUCCCAAAGGAUUCACAUACUUUUUCAUCCGACUAUAUAUUUUUUUCCCUCGCAGACAUUGAUUCAUAUCAAACCGUUCCUGUUUUAUGUUGAUGAGGAAUCUCGAUUGUCUUUAGUUGCUUGAAUGAUGAGAAUGUAUUACUUUCUUCAAAGUCUCAAUUUGACAAAGUAACUGCUUUAAAAUGAUUUGGUAAAGAAGUUAGGUCAUGACUAACAGAGGCACAGCUCAAACACUGCUGCUCUGCGUGACGUGGUUCAAAAAUGGAAAUCAGCCAAUGUAGCUUGUUGAGCAUAAACUGGUUCAUGAAGGUGUUCAUGUUUAAGUCUGUGCACGCCAUCCUGCUGAUCAGGGAGAUGGGUUCUGUGUUCCUGAGAUGAACAUAAAUUGGUGCAAACUAUCAACCUCAAAAGUGAAGAUGCUAAAGCCGGUUUAGCAAUUCAAAAAAUAAAAAGCCUGAACAUCUCUAACAGAACCAUACAACCUGUUUUUAUUGAUCUUAUUUAACAAAUUAUACAUCAACACCGCAGGUUGGGG